UUGGGGACACGAAGUGGUUGAUGCCAUGCUUCCAAGAAAAGCUUCUAAGCUUCAGGUAACCAGGAACCGUACCCCAAACCGACACAGGUGGUUGGGUAGAGAAUACCAAGGCGCUUGAGAGAACUCGGGUGAAGGAACUAGGCAAAAUGGCACCGUAACUUCGGGAGAAGGUGCGCCGGUGAGGGUGAAGCAUUUACUGCGUAAGCCCACGCCGGUCGAAGAUACCAGGCCGCUGCGACUGUUUAUUAAAAACACAGCACUCUGCAAACACGAAAGUGGACGUAUAGGGUGUGACGCCUCCCCGGUGCCGGAAGGUUAAUUGAUGGGGUUAGCUAACGCGAAGCUCUUGAUCGAAGCCCCGGUAAACGGCGGCCGUAACAAUAACGGUCCUAAGGUAGCGAAAUUCCUUGUCGGGUAAGUUCCGACCUGCACGAAUGGCGUAACGAUGGCGGCGCUGUCUCCACCCGAGACUCAGUGAAAUUGAAAUCGCUGUGAAGAUGCAGUGUAUCCGCGGCUAGACGGAAAGACCCCGUGAACCUUUACUAUAGCUUUGCACUGGACUUUGAAUUUGCUUGUGUAGGAUAGGUGGGAGGCUUUGAAGCGUGGACGCCAGUCUGCGUGGAGCCAACCUUGAAAUACCACCCUGGCAACUUUGAGGUUCUAACUCAGGUCCGUUAUCCGGAUCGAGGACAGUGUAUGGUGGGUAGUUUGACUGGGGCGGUCUCCUCCUAAAGAGUAACGGAGGAGUACGAAGGUGCGCUCAGACCGGUCGGAAAUCGGUCGUAGAGUAUAAAGGCAAAAGCGCGCUUGACUGCGAGACAGACACGUCGAGCAGGUACGAAAGUAGGUCUUAGUGAUCCGGUGGUUCUGUAUGGAAGGGCCAUCGCUCAACGGAUAAAAGGUACUCCGGGGAUAACAGGCUGAUACCGCCCAAGAGUUCAUAUCGACGGCGGUGUUUGGCACCUCGAUGUCGGCUCAUCACAUCCUGGGGCUGAAGCCGGUCCCAAGGGUAUGGCUGUUCGCCAUUUAAAGUGGUACGCGAGCUGGGUUUAGAACGUCGUGAGACAGUUCGGUCCCUAUCUGCCGUGGACGUUUGAGAUUUGAGAGGGGCUGCUCCUAGUACGAGAGGACCGGAGUGGACGAACCUCUGGUGUUCCGGUUGUCACGCCAGUGGCAUUGCCGGGUAGCUAUGUUCGGAAUAGAUAACCGCUGAAAGCAUCUAAGCGGGAAACUAGCCUCAAGAUGAGAUCUCACUGGAACCUUGAGUUCCCUGAAGGGCCGUCGAAGACUACGACGUUGAUAGGUGGGGUGUGUAAGCGCUGUGAGGCGUUGAGCUAACCCAUACUAAUUGCCCGUGAGGCUUGACCAA
rnacentral:rRNA from 1 species